UAGAGAAGUGACUGACAGAUUAAAGACGUGUUCCAAAGGAGAACUGGAACAGAAUGUGUGCAAACCGAACCUUUAAAAUAAAACACACCAUCAACAAGAUCACUAGGUAUACCGUAUUUAAAUGGUAUCUUUAGGGGUGGAUUUACAGGAACUUCCUUCCGGGACUACAGUGACAGGGACUACAGUGACAUUUUUCAAAAAAAGGCCUGGCCAGGCUUGGUGGCGCACACCUUUAACCUCAGCACUCAGGAGGCAGAGUCAGUCAGACCUCUAUAAAUUCCAGGCCAGCAUGGUUUAUAUGGCGUUAUAGCUAAGGCUAUACAGAAGACUGUGUAUAAACAAACGUGAUAGACACAGAAAGAAUAAAUAGCCUGAGUGUGUCUCCGGGCAAUGGACUGAGGUCAUGCAGUGGUUAUGUCAAUAACGGAAACUACGUCGUGACGCCCCCUCCCCCAUAAAGGCAAAGGUACUGAGGAUUUUAAUAACGAACAUUACUUGAGGAUGUGGCUAGGGAAAUCACUAUGGCCUCUGUCACCCUAGUCUCUCCACUCCGGAGAGGAAAGGCCGUUGGGAGAACGCACGCCUCAAAAAGAACCGCUGCGAAGACCCCCCCAUGUCCUCCCCCCGCCGAAGUCAAAGAGAAAAGCCUCUCUAGGGCGCAGGCCGCGGAAGAUGGAACCCAAGCGCCUCAGGCCACGGCCACAGCGUCCGCAGGGGCCCGCGGGCCGUCACUGUCCCCGAGGCCCUUAGGCCGGUCUGAGAGCGCCUCUAACCCCCGAAAACAGUCGCGGCCGCCCGGGACCCGGCUGGGGCUCGGCGCCGCGGCCGCGCCGGCCCGAGCACGCACGGCGUCCGCCCGAGCAGGCUGAGGGGCGCAGGCAGGCCGCACCUGAGGGGCCGGGAGCCGGCGCGCUGGGGGAAGGGCGCGCCGCGCGGGGCCUGCUCCGACCCGCACAAAAGGGGCCGUGUCCGUCGCUCGCCUGCCCCACCGCGGCCGCCACCGCCCGCCCGCGCCUCCCACCUCCGGCGUCCCCGAGCCCUCCGCCGACCCGCCGCGGGCCGAAGCAGCAUGACUCGGCCUCCCACCGCUCCAGAGCAAAAGCACUAAGCAGUCCUUCACCUGUGUCCGGUCCGGUUUAACACCGAAGCCAUUUCAAAACCCGUCAAGUCCAGGCGCAUGCGCCAACUUCGCCCUCUUCCCACCACGCCGCACCUCCUCCCGUCUCGGCGAGGCACCGGCGCCGGCGGCGGGACGUUCGGCGUGCGCGCUCCCCGCGUGCGCGCUCACAAGCGCCCGGAGUUAGCGCGUGCCCGAGCCGGGUUACCUUGGCUUUGCUUCACAAUGAGCUGGCCGUCCUUGUGCCCGGCUCGGAGGCAAAACGGGGCUCCUCACUGGGAGCCAGAGAACCAGAGAACCAGUGGGGGUCACGUGGUCACGCCGGGUUGGCCGCCAUCUUGUGGUUGUCCAUUUUCUAGUAUACUGCGAUUUGCUUGAAAGAAUGAAAGUAACCCCAUAACUAUGGAAGGAAAAGAGUUUCCAGCUGGCCACAGUGGCACAUCUCCAUAUUCCCAGGCAGAAGGAUUACCACAAGUUGAAGGCCAGCUUUGACAAAACGGGUAUCUUUGGUGGACAGAAGAGCCUGUCAGAUCCUCUGGAGCUGGAGUCAUCAGCUGGGGGUGAGCCACCUUUAUGUGAGCACCAGGAACUGAACCCAGAUGCUUUGAAAAGGCAGCGUGUUCUGUAACCACAGAGCCAUCUCUCCAGCUAUGCUCUACUGACUUUUUGAUACACAGUCUCUCACUGAAGCUGGAGCUUGCAGUUUAAGCUAGAAGUGUGCUGUCCAACAAUAUUUCUCAACACCCCAUGAGCCUCAGGGACCUGGCUGUCCCCACAUCCCCAGUGCUAUUGUUACAGCCACUCGAGGUUAUAGCACUCAGGUCACAGAUGCUCAGUUGUCAUACCGAUGCUGGAUUCCGAACUUGGUCCUUGGGUCUAACACUUAAAUAAUCAUGUCAUCAAGGCAUGGGCCACUACCACCACGACCACCACCACCACCACUCACGUUUUUUGGCAAUUUUGAUUCUAAUAAAAAUUAAUAGUAUUGACUAUCA